GGAGGAUUCGCCUAGUGGCCUAGGGCGCACGCUUGGAAAGCGUGUUGGGGGCAACCCCUCGCGAGUUCGAAUCUCGCAUCCUCCG
rfam:Frankia sp. CcI3, complete genome.